rnacentral:lncRNA from 1 species
UGGAUUGUUUUAUUGAUCAUGUAAUGCUACCACUCGCUAGUACUUCACCUGCACCUGCGUUGAAAGUACGCGUCAGUACGAGUUCAAUCGAAUCCCCGCACAAAAAAAAUGGCGUCGACGGAUGAUUUUCGUUUGCUGCAGACAAAUGCCUCUUUUAUCGAUCAUGUGCUGUCGAAACAGCGCUUGCAGUCGCGAAGACCGCGAGGUCGCAAGCUGUCAGAUUCGUCAUCUAAUAUUUUCGUCAUCAUCGCAAACAUCAUCCGUCCGUACGCGUUCAAAACAAAAACAAAUGUCGCUUCGCCGCCGCAAAGACGUCGUCGUGACGACCCCGCCUCGCGCGUCGUCGAAGAAUAUCAAUGUCCCUACUCACCCAAGGUGCGCAAUCAGGUGAAGAAUAUUGACACUCUGACACUGUGAGAGGUUUCGCGAUCGCGUCCGUCGCGGGCAGAAAAUCUUCUCGUCGGCGUGCGUUCAGAAUCGAUACCGUUCUUCAAUGACGCGCUCAGAAGCAGAACUGGCGUGUUUGCAGGUAUUUAUCAUCGCGACGCAGCGUCGACGUCCCGCGCGCGUCGCGUCCCGCGCGCGCCUUCGUUCGCAUCGCGUCGCGUCGCAUCACCCGCACGCACCGCACCGCACCGCACCGCACCGCACCGCACCCCGCGCGCGCCGUCGUCGCGUCGCGCGUCGCCUCGCCGGCGGCGGCAUCGUCGACCGCGCGUUCGCGCCCUCGACGCCGCCGCGCGCGCGCGCGCGCG